rnacentral:rRNA from 1 species
UUAAGUGAACAAGGGCAUACGGCGGAUGCCUUGGCGCCAAGAGCCGAUGAAGGACGCGGUAAGCUGCGAAAAGGCAUGGGUAGGAGCAAGCAUCCUGUGAUCCAUGCAUAUCCGAAUGGGGCAACCCACCAUCAGUCAUGUGAUGGUACGAAAGAGGCAGACCUGGGGAACUGAAACAUCUAAGUACCCAGAGGAAAAGUAAUCAAUUGAGAUUCCCUAAGUAGCGGCGAGCGAAAGGGGAAGAGCCCAAACCAUGAAACUUCGGUUUUGUGGGGUUGAGGACCGGCAAAAAGAGGAAACUUCUUAGUCGAAUGGUUUGGAAAGGCCAUGCACAGAAGGUAAAACACCUGUAGGCGAAAAGAAGUCAAUCGGGCUGGUAUCCAGAGUACUGCGAGACACGUGAAACCUUGCAGGAAGCAGGGGGGACCACCCUCCAAGGCAAAAUACUACUUGGCGACCGAUAGCGCAUAGUACCGUGAGGGAAAGGUGAAAAGAACCCCGGGAGGGGAGUGAAAUAGAACCUGAAACCGUAUGUCUACAAGCAGUCGAAGCACCUUAAGAGUGCGACGGCGUGCCUAUUGAAGAAUGAACCGGCGAGUUACAUUAUGUUGCGAGGUUAAGUGGGAGACACGGAGCCGAAGCGAAAGCGAGUCUUAAUAGGGCGACUAGUAACAUGGUGUAGACCCGAAACCGCAGUGAUCUAUCCAUGGUCAGGUUGAAGCGCAGGUAAAAAUGCGUGGAGGACCGAACCCGUGAGUGUUGAAAAACUUUGGGAUGAACCGUGGAUAGGGGUGAAAUGCCAAUCGAACGCGGAGAUAGCUGGUACUCCCCGAAAUAGCUUUAGGGCUAGCCUCAGGGAAGAUUAUAGACGGUAGAGCACUGAUCUGGCAAGGGGGCGUAAAGCCUACCGACCCUAGUCAAACUUCGAAUGGCUAUAAUUAAGACCCUGGGAGUCAGACUGCGAGUGAUAAGACCCGUAGUCAAGAGGGAAACAGCCCAGACCGCCGACUAAGGUCCCCAAUGCUGUACUAAGUGGAAAAGGAUGUAAGACUUCAUAAACAACCAGGAUGUUGGCUUAGAAGCAGCCACCAUUAAAAGAGUGCGUAAUAGCUCACUGGUCGAGAGGCCUUGCGCCGAAGAUGUCCGGGGCUCAAGUACAGAACCGAAGUCGCGGCAGGAUUAUAUAAUUCUGGGUAGGGGAGCGUUGUAUAUCCGACUGAAGGUGUACCGGAAGGAGCGCUGGAGGAUAUACAAGAGAGAAUGCCGGUAUGAGUAGCGAAAAGAACAGUGAGAAUCUGUUCCACCGAAAGCCUAAGGUUUCCUGAGCAACGCUCGUCGACUCAGGGUAAGUCGGGACCUAAGCCGAGGCAAAAAGCAUAGGCGAUGGACAACAGGUUAAUAUUCCUGUACCGCUUCAAAUCGUUUGAGCAAUGGAGUGACACAGAAGGUAGCUUGAGCACGCGAAUGGAUGUGCGUGUCGAAGGUGGUAGGUUGCAGUAUAGGUAAAUCCGUACUGUAUAAGACCGAGAACUGAUAGAUAGACGAUACUUCGGUAAAGUCAAAUUCAAGUGAGCCAUGCUGUCGAGAAAAGCUUCUAGUGAGAGAUGAGGCGCCCGUACCGAAACCGACACAGGUAGGCGGGGAGAGAAUCCUAAGGUGCGCGGGACAACCCUCGUUAAGGAACUCGGCAAAUUGUAUCCGUAACUUAGGGAUAAGGAUAGCCGGAGGAUGUGAAGGGAUUUACUUCUGGAGCGUCAGCCGGUGGCACAAGAGAGGCCCAAGCGACUGUUUAGCACAAACACAGGUGCCUGCAAAAGAGAAAUCUGACGUAUAGGUGCUGACACCUGCCCGGUGCUGGAAGGUUAAGAGGAGGGCUUAGAGGAAACUCGAAGGCUUGAAUUGAAGCCCCAGUAAACGGCGGCCGUAACUAUAACGGUCCUAAGGUAGCGAAAUUCCUUGUCGGGU